rnacentral:lncRNA from 1 species
AAUUAAAUUUUUUAAAAAAUAAAUUUAUGUAGUGCUUCUCCUAAUAAUAUUACUUGGACAAACAAUAUUCUAUCUUUUAGCUUGGUGGGUGGUAUGGACUGAGCGAAACAACACUAUCUUCCGAUCGAUACCCCCAACCCUCUGCGCUCGCUUGACCGUAUUAACGUUUUACUAAACAACUGGAGCAAUUUCUGCUGACCGCGGACUGUAUUUUUAGCCUUUUUCUCUUUCUCCUUCUCUCCAUGUCUUUGGUUUUUUUUUGCACUUUUCUUUUUUCCCGGAAGCUUUAGCUGCAUCCACCUUGUAAGUCUAGUUCAUCCUUUUUAAUGAAUGAAGCAGGUACCUCGCUAUCUUUUUCUCAAAAAAAAAAAGAAAAAACAAUAUUC